rnacentral:rRNA from 1 species
GAUGAACGCUGGCGGCGUGCCUAAUACAUGCAAGUCGAACGCUGGAAAUCUAGCUUGCUAGAUUGAAGGAGUGGCGAACGGGUGAGUAAUACAUAAGCAACCUACCCACGAAGACUGGGAUAAUCUCUGGAAACGGGGACUAAUACCGGAUAGGUAAUCGGAAGGCAUCUUCUGAUUAUUAAAGGUUAAAAACACUGGUGGAUGGGCUUAUGGCGCAUUAGUUAGUUGGUGAGGUAACGGCCCACCAAGACGAUGAUGCGUAGCCGGCCUGAGAGGGUGAACGGCCACAUUGGGACUGAGACACGGCCCAGACUCCUACGGGAGGCAGCAGUAAGGAAUUUUCGGCAAUGGGGGAAACCCUGACCGAGCAACGCCGCGUGAGUGAUGACGGCCUUCGGGUUGUAAAGCUCUGUUGUAAGGGAAGAACGGUAGAUAGAGAAUAUCUAAAUGACGGUACCUUACCAGAAAGCCACGGCUAACUACGUG